rnacentral:lncRNA from 1 species
CUCAAGCUGUUUACUUCCUGAUUGAUGCCAUGUGAGUGAGCAAAGCAGCUUGAUAGGAGUGAUCUGUCUUGCUCAGUCACGUGGCAGUAUUCAGGAAGUAAAAUGCUCAGCUACCGUGCUGUUUUCUUUCUUUUGGGAUGAAAUUUGGAGUGCUAGGGGGCAGGCGGGACAGCCAACCUGCCUCCUUAGGUUGUCUGAGCCCAGGGGGCAUGCAAUGACUAUGGGAAUAGAUAUCCAGGAUCCUGCAAAGGAAUCAGAGUCUCCACUGUCCCAACACAAGGAAAAGUCUGAAUCCUGCUACAAGAUUUGGAACUUCCCCUGUGUCUUUUGAAUCUAAAGUGCAGCCGCAUUAAGUGACUUACCCCAGGCUAACUCACAUCAGCCUGUAUGCAUUGUGUGGAUUGAGGACACUACGUUGAAAAUCAGUGCAUGGAGUAUGCAUGUGUUCUUCAUAGUUAAUUUGAUUAGAUCCUCUUCUUGUUGUUGUUGUUCUUAAGUAACUUAAGUCAUUUCUGAUUUAUGGAGAACCUAAAUCUCUAAUGAAGCUUUUUGAGGCUAAGAAUGUAUGACUUGCCCAAAAUCACUGAAUGGGUUUUCAUGGCUGAGCAAGAAUUUAAACUUUGCUUUCCUGAACAGUGCUCAGACCACUAUACAAUUGUGAUUUGUACUUAAUGUAGCAUGCCAAAAGCAGAAGAAACUAGUCUUUAUAAUAUUAUGUCAACCUGAAGUCUGGGGAAUGUAUUUGAACAUAUGAGAGUCUCUGUUGUGGCUCAGCCAUCGUGGCCUAUAGUUCAUCAAGAGUUGGAUUUGGAAACAGACUAUGCUACAGAUCCAGGCCCAGAACGGGGCCCCUUGGCCUUGCAGCUGCCUGAUAUUAUUACACAGAAUGAUCCGAUAAUUGGAGAACAUUCCGAUGCCUCAGCAAUCUCACCUACACCAGAUGGUGUUGUGUUGGGCAAAGAUGGGUUUUUCAAUUGGAGGGAGUGUUUUAUGAGAGAUAGGAGCAAAAUACAAGGGGCUGAAAAUCUAAUAUUAUACAAGACACAGAAAUAGGAUUCUAAAAUAUAAAUGCCAUGUAUCAUAAAAUAUUUAAGAAUAAAAAUAUACCAUUUUAUCUAUUUAAAUAGAACUCAUCAUCAUACUGCUUUAAGCCUCAAUGGGUUUGGACUGCUAUGAAAUGCAGAAGUAACACAUGACACGGGGCAUCUCUUGAAUGCCUUCACCGUAAGAUCCAUUUCAAUUCCCAACGGGGGAAAAGUCUCUCUUUUUCUUUAAAACAAAAACACAAAAAGCAGACAUAUUUUCCUGUCUUUCAGUUGCUACCAACAUGCUACUAUGAAUGUAAAUUGGAGACUGAGAUCACCAAUAUGAUGCUUGCAGUGCCAGUAGUUUUCCAAAGCCAGAGUCUGAAAUUAGGUUUUGGGUCCUAAAUUAGAAAGCUAGAAUAUCAGAUAAAUGAAUAUGUUACCAAAAAAGGUGUUACCUGUAAUUAAAUCCAAUUCCUUAAUAAUUAAGGGUAGAUGACAUUACAUUACAUUAGAAUUGUAUCUUAAUGUGCAUUGUACCACAGUCCCACAGGUUGAAAUCACUGGAAGGUAAGUGUCUUUUAAGUUACUUUUUAGUGUAAAGCAUUUCUUUUCAAACAUAGUUACUCUAAUAGUAGUUACUUGCAGUCAGUUCUCUAUGUCCACUAAUUCUGUAUCUAUGAUUUCAACCAUACAUUGCUUGAAAAUAUUCAAAAAGAAAUUCUGAAGAACAAACAUUCAUUUUUCCAUUUUAUAUAACAGAUAGCAUUUUACUAUGUGAUUAUAUACAAUGGGCCUUGAGCAUCCACAGAUUUUGUUAUCUAUGGCUCCUGGAACCAAACCACAGCAGAUGCCAAGGAUCCACUGUAUUUGGAGAGCUUCAGACAUAUAAUUGUUGCUUUCCAACUUUUGAGCAGGCCUGAGUCCUCCCCCUACAACUAUUUUGGCUAUUUUUUUUGGUAAAAUGGCAGCACUGGUCAUCGAGAAAUCGAACAAAGGGAGGCUCCUAGUCCCUACACAGAGAUACCUCCUCACUCUUCCUAUGGCUGCACCUACAUUGCAGAAUUAAUGCAUAUUGACAUCACUUUACUGCCAUGGCUCACUGGGAUGGAAUCCUGGGACUUUUAGUUUUACAAGAUUUUUAGCCUUUUCUGCCAAUUGCUGCUGGUGCAUCACCAAACUACAACUCCCAUGAUUCCAUAGUAUUAAACUAUGGCAGUUAAAGUGGUGUCAAAAUGGUAUCAUUAUAGUUGGAUGAAAAUGGGGGGGGGGGAGGUUAAUCUCUCCCAGGUUACGUGACCCAGGAGCAGGCUAGGCAAGGGGUUGCCAUGGUCUAUCCAAACAAUAUCUCCCUGACCAAGAUCCCCCUACCUCACUUGGAAGGUCUUGAAUGUGUCUUUCUUUGAGUGGGUUUCCAGGACAGAUUAGGGAUCUUGUUGGUGUACUGACCACCUCGUUGCCCAACAACCUCCCAACUUGAGCUAACAAGGUUGAUCUCCUCCAGACUGGUUGUGCUGAGGAACUUAAUAAUACAUGCCAAGGGCUCCCUGGUAAGCACAGCUCAAGACUUCAUGGCUGCCAUGAUUACCAUGGGGCUGUCCCAAAUGAUAUCUGGACCUACUCAUAAAGCAGGUCACACCCUUGAGCUCCUUUUCAUGAGGGGGAUCAUGAUCUGAGGGUGGAGGGUUUAGACAUAGCUCUUGUGUCAUGGUCAGACCAUUUCUUGAUCAGGUUUAGACUUACCGGAGCUCCUAUUCUCCUCAGAGGUGGUGAACCCAUUAGAAUGGUCCACUCCAGGAGACUUAUGGAUCCGGAUGGAUUCCUGAUGUCUCUUGGGGAAUUUCUGGUCACCAGAAAAGCUGAUUCUAUUGAUGCCCUAACUAAGCUCUGAACCACGGAAGUGGCCAAGGCUAUCAAUACAAUCGACCCGAAGCAUCCUCUUCCCCAAAGUGGAGCUAAAUUGGCUCCCUGUUUUCCAGAGAACUGUUAGCAAUGAAACAAGAGGGAAGGAGACUAGAGCACAAAUGGCAAAAAAAAAACCUCAGAACAAAUCCAAACUACAACUCCCAUUAUUCCAUAGCAUUAAAUUAUGGCAGUUAAAGUGGUGUUGAACUGCAUUGAUUCUAUGUUGUAGAGGCAUUUUCUGAACCACUACUCAGGGGCAAAUUCCAGUUAUAUGGAUGGGGAGAGAGAGAAUAACCUUGUGGCGCAUGCAAAACCAUGAUGUCAAUACAGUGAUACUAGUGCUAAAUAGAAGCAAGGGUUCAAGAAAGGAUAUGCUAGCAAUCUAAAAUAUUUCCUGCUGGUAUAGUGGAAUCUCUUCUUUAACUUUCAUUAACUUUCUUAUUCAGCAAACAGGCACUUAACAAAGGGUGCUUUUAAUCUGAUAAAAUGAGAUAAAGCUACUGGUUUCCUAAUAAGUAUUUGUCUAGCAGAUUUUCACAAAGUUUCUAAAGUCUGGACAAGCCGUUUAUGAAAGAAAAAUAAUGUGUCUCUUUCUUGUUACUGCAAUAUGAGAUUGGCAGGGCUACAACUAUAUAUGAGCUGAACAGAUUACAUAUCAGAUCAUUGGAGGGGAAAGGGUCUCUGAGUUAUUGGAAACACCUGGAUAAAAAUAAAAGCAUAUCCAUAUGCUAGCAUGAAAACCUAACAUGUCUUCAGAUUGUUUCUGGAAAUAUUGUUUUCACCUUGACUCAUAAAUAUAGGUAGAUCUAAAAGGCCUGCUCAAUGAGACCACUGGCCCAUCUAGACAACUUAUCUUUCUCUAUGCAAUGGCCAGUCAUAUUUUUCAAAGAAGCUUCCAUAGUAAAGCAUGAAGGUUUCCCAAAACCUAACACUGUGUUAUUGAAAGCUUUUAGCUGUCAUGGCUAAUAGUUUGGAAAAGUUAACUUUUCUGAAUAAUUUCCUCCCAAUCCCACCCAGUAUGGAAUAUUCAUAGCUCAAAGUUUUGCACGUGGUAAAAUGGUGAAUGCAAGAACCAACUUCACUGAGAUAAAAAUAACAUCUUCAUGAUUCUUCAUGAAGAAUGAACUUGUUCCUCUGUGUCCUAAGCCAAUCUUUCCUGCACCAGUGUCCUGCUGCCAACUAACAAUGUCAGUCUUCCUUACUGUUCUGAAAUUUCCAGUGUCAUCUGUUGACAUUGACAAUAGUCUUUUCAGAAAUUAACCAUUGUGUAUAUGUCCUUUUUUGUGCAAUUUUAUAUUCUUAAAAUCUGCUGAAAGUUUUCAAGAGCUUUUCUCUUUGCAGAAAACCUAUUUUUAAUUUUCCCAUCUGGGUGCUCAUGUGUGCAUCUUAUGAGCCCUUGUUUGUGUCCUCAGGAUGUCCUUGGAAACAUCUGAUUGUCUCCUUCUCCAUUCACCUUAGUAGACUGAAAAGAGAUAACUAACAUACCUUCCCUCUUUCUUCAAGUCCUUCUAUUCCAUCACAAUGGCCACAAUCUGUUGCUCCAUUUUCUGAGUGAAAUCUCAAAAUCAGUGCUGUUUUCUUUUGCAUAAACCUUACAGUUCCACUCCAUUAUCUAGAAGAGGGGGCUCUAACUUAUGCAUCCCAGUUCCUGUAAAUAUAAAUAAGGUGCGAUUGUCUGAGUCAAGUGUGCCAGAUGGAUCACAGUCCACUAGAAAAAUUCAUGUGACAGAGUUUCUCUUAUUAUCAAGUGGAUUCCUAUAUUUACACACUUCAAAUAAGUGUGAUAAAUGUGCAUUUUCCAUCCUCAAAUCAUCAAGAAUCUCCAAGGAGCAUAGUGCAGGUGAAUUUGGGGAGUUGUAGUCCCAAAAGGUAACUUUUCCAAGUUUUCUUUGGAUAUGGUCUUGGAACAGUCUCUCUCAUGAAAAACAUGGGUGGAAAAGUCAUUGAAAUGGUCAGGUGGUGUUCUUUUAUCUCAUGCUCCCAAAAUGUACUGAUGUGGUAAUAAUGGCUAGCAGUGUGGACUUUAAACAGUGUGGACUGUCAUGGCCAAAGAAAUUGAUAAUGUACUGUUUGCAACCUAUGGGCAGUAGGUUGCCAGCCACUGUUGUUUCGGAAUACCAUCCACAAUCCAAAACAUGGAAAGUGAGUGUACACAAGUGUACAGGUGCUGGCCAAACUCUCACAGUCACCAAAUAUUUUGAAAGAGAUGCAAAGAGCAUACAGAAAAGUAUUUGCCAAUUUAUUAUUUUAGCAUUUAGCAGUUCUUUGGGCCAGUGAACCAACCAGUCUGUGCCCACACAGUUCUAUAACAUCAUAUUACAGUGACCCUGUUGUAAAACUGAUAACUACUUCUAUAUAUUUCAUAUAGCAAAAGAAGUGCCUAAAU